rnacentral:lncRNA from 1 species
GGCAAACACAGAAAUGUUAGGUACCGGCGACUCUGGCUACAUUUCCCUGGCAGAUGUGGAGAGGAAGGAGAGAGAGCUCUCAGAGCAGCUCAUAGACAAUAUGGGAGCUUUCUGGAAGCAGAUGGAAAGCAUGCAGCCCAUUCUCAUGGACCAGCUUAAGUGUUCCAGCUCCAAGGCACGGCAGCUCAUGAUGACUCUGACGGGAAGAAUGAUUGUCGCUGAAGGACUGCUGCAUGAGUCUCAGGACCUGCAUGUCCUGGACACUCUGGAGAGGACAAUGGGUCGAGCCCACAUGGCAAGAAUUGUAGAGUUCCUGAGGACCCAGAUCCAGGAGGAGACCAAGUGCCGGCUGGCCGCCAUCUCCCGUGGCCUGGAGCUGCUGACUGU